AACGGCCGCGGUAUCCUAACCGUGCAAAGGUAGCAUAAUCAUUUGCCUAUUAAUUGUAGGCUAGUAUGAAAGGGUUAACGAAAUAAAGACUGUCUCAAUUAAUCACCUAAAAACUAUUCUCUACUUGAAGAAAAGUAGAUUCCCUCGAAGGACAAGAAGACCCUAUAGAGCUUAAUUCUACUUAUAGAUAAUACACUAUAAAAAAAUUCGGUUGGGGCGACCCAGGGAUAAUUAAUCACCCAUAAAAAAAAAGAUAUAUAAAUCAAAUAAAUGACCCUAAUAGAUCACAAGACCAAGCUACCUUAGGGAUAACAGGCUAAUCCCACUUAAGAGUCCUUAUCAACAGUGGGGUUUGGCACCUCGAUGUUGGCUUAGG
rnacentral:rRNA from 1 species